AGGAUGAACGCUGGCGGCGUGCUUAACACAUGCAAGUCGAACGAUGAAGCCGGAGCUUGCUCUGGUGGAUUGGUGGCGAACGGGUGAGUAACACGUGAGUAACCUGCCCUUGACUCUGGGAUAAGCACUGGAAACGGUGUCUAAUACCGGAUACGAGUCUUUAGCCGCAUGGCUAGGAGCUAGGAAAGUAAUUUCGGUCAAGGAUGGACUCGCGGCCUAUCAGGUAGUUGGUGAGGUAACCGGCCCACCAAGCCUACGACGGGUAC
rnacentral:rRNA from 1 species